rnacentral:tRNA from 1 species
GCCCGGAUAGCUCAGUCGGCCAGAGCACCUGUCUUGUAAACAGGGGGUCGAGGGUUCGAAUCCCUCUUCGGGCUCCC